GGCGGGCAUAGCUCAGAUGGUAGAGCGCUCGCUUAGAAUGCGAGAGGUACUGGGAUCAAUACCCAGUGCCUCCA